AUUCUAAAAAACUUUCCCCUUCUCUGUGAAUCAAACUGUUGUCUUCUCCGAUUUUCGAUGCUCAGUUCCACAAAACCAAAAUCACAGAAGCUACAGAAGUAUUCGUUGGAAUUCCGACUGGGUUCGGAUCGGCGGCACGGCGGCGAUCGUUGGGGCCCGCUGGAUGUCAUCUGAUCAGCAAGGAUUUCGGCGACCACAAGGCCUGCCUCAAAGGGAGGGGUGCAUCUGGAGAAGCAGCUUCUGAUUUCUGUGGUGAAAGCUGCCAAGAGAGAGCCACAACCUGAACCUGAACCAGAGGGUUCGAUGUUGAGGAAGGAUGUUCUGCUCUUUUAUCCCUAUCCCAAGGAGAAGCAUAGUUCUAGGAGUCAUUUACUGCGAUGGGCUUUUUUGUGAUUCUUUUAACUGUGAAGAAAUGGCUGUGGCCAUGGAAUCCAGUUUUGAGUUAUGUCACCAAAAAGCCUGUGACGAAGCCAUCGACUAGGAGAAAUUCGAGAGCAAGCAGAAUGCUUAGAGGCUCCGAAAUGAGAAGCAGCAGCAGCCAGGCGGUGGAUCAGUUCAACGGAAGAGAGUGAAAAAACAGGAGCUGGAAGAUGAUGGCUGCACUGAUGAUGAGAAUGAAGCAGCAGAUGAGGAGACGAGGAGGAAGAGGCCAGAUAGGGAGGGAGGUAGAAUGGAGAUCAGCCGGGACGCCCAGUUCAGUAAUAAAAGGAGGUAGGGGUGCAGAGACAGCCAGGAGAUUUGCCUAGGAGCAGCCACCCUUGAAAGAGUGUGUAAAUAGUUCACUAAUCGAGUGCACUUGUGCCGAAGAUAAACGGGGC